GCCCGACGUGAAUCGCCGGCGGCGUCGCCAGCGAUAUUCCACUUUCCCCGCUCCUGCUCAUGUUGAUCCUGUGAGCGACCGACUCCUCGGGUAGACUAUUUUGUUAUCUGCAAGUGGUUCAACAAAAAUCGACGGAUAUGUGUUUACGAGACACCCUAUAUAUUCCACAACUUUCGGAAGGGCUAACGCAAACCGCGAUCGAUGGAAGGUCAUCUAUUCACGCGUACCAGAGAGAUACAUAUCCCUUUCGAGAAAGAAGAAAAAAAGAAAAGUAGGGAUGAAAAGACGGCAUUAUCGAAGCGUCGCGGAAACGCGAAUAGGAAAGAGUCGUCGAUAAGUUUAUCAACACCCGAGCUUUUCACAUUCCCAUUUAGG